CACCGUUUAUCCUGGUGGGAUGUUUUGCAGUUCAAAGUCCCCAGAUGGCCUGUUGGGCUUGACAUGCAAUUAAAACAUUACUGGCUGUUCUUCAAAAAGGACUAGUUACUAUUAAUAUGGAGUUGGUCUCUGCACCCGAUCCAAGUACUCCAAGUUCCCGAAUUCCAAGUUCUUCAAACACAACAUUCCGGUUUGGUUUAAUUUACCAACUGGCCAAUUGCGUGAAGAUGCAUU